GACGUAGGAGGCGAGCGUUGUCCGGAGUUACUGGGCGUAAAGCGCGCGCAGGCGGUCACGCAGGUCAUCUGUGAAAGCACUCGGCUCAACCAGAUAAAGGCAGUGGAAACUACAUAGCUAGAGUAAGGUAGGGGUAGAGGGAAUUCCUGGUGUAGCGGUGAAAUGCGUAGAUAUCGGGAGGAACAUCAGUGGCGAAGGCGGCCUGCUGGGCAGUGGCUGACACUGAGGCGCGACAGCGUGGGGAGCAAACAGG
rnacentral:rRNA from 1 species